rnacentral:rRNA from 1 species
AUUGAACGCUGGCGGCAUGCCUUACACAUGCAAGUCGAACGGUAACAGGUCUUCGGAUGCUGACGAGUGGCGAACGGGUGAGUAAUACAUCGGAACGUGCCCGAUCGUGGGGGAUAACGAGGCGAAAGCUUUGCUAAUACCGCAUACGAUCUAAGGAUGAAAGCGAGGGAGCUUCGGACCUCGCGCGGACGGAGCGGCCGACGGCAGGUUAGGUAGAUGGCUUGAUAAAUGCUUACCAAGACGACGAUCUGUAGCUGGUCUCAGAGGAGGAUCAUCCACACUGGUAUUGAGACACGGCCCCGACUCCUACUGGAGGCAGCAGUGGGGAUUUUUCGACAAUAGGCGAAACCCUGAUCCAGCCAUCCCGCGUGCAGGAUGACGUCCUCCGGGUUGUAAACUGCUUUUUUGCGGAAAGAAAAGCUUCUUUCUAAUAGAGAGGGAUCAUGACGGUACCGUAAGAAUAAGCACCGGCUAACUACUUU